rnacentral:rRNA from 1 species
AGAGUUUGAUUAUGGCUCAGAUUGAACGCUGGCGGCAGGCCUAACACAUGCAAGUCGAGCGGCAGCACGGGGAGCUUGCUCCCUGGUGGCGAGCGGCGGACGGGUGAGUAAUGCAUAGGAAUCUGCCCGGUAGUGGGGGAUAACGUGGGGAAACCCACGCUAAUACCGCAUACGUCCUACGGGAGAAAGCGGAGGAUCUUCGGACUUCGCGCUAUCGGAUGAGCCUAUGUCGGAUUAGCUAGUUGGUAAGGUAACGGCUUACCAAGGCAACGAUCCGUAGCUGGUCUGAGAGGAUGAUCAGCCACACUGGGACUGAGACACGGCCCAGACUCCUACGGGAGGCAGCAGUGGGGAAUAUUGGACAAUGGGCGAAAGCCUGAUCCAGCCAUGCCGCGUGUGUGAAGAAGGCUUUCGGGUUGUAAAGCACUUUCAGCGAGGAAGAAAGCCUCUGGGUUAAUACCCCAGAGGAAGGACAUCACUCGCAGAAGAAGCACCGGCUAACUCCGUGCCAGCAGCCGCGGUAAUACGGAGGGUGCGAGCGUUAAUCGGAAUUACUGGGCGUAAAGCGCGCGUAGGUGGCUUGGCACGCCGGUUGUGAAAGCCCCGGGCUCAACCUGGGAACUGCAUCCGGAACGGCCAGGCUAGAGUGCAGGAGAGGAAGGUAGAAUUCCCGGUGUAGCGGUGAAAUGCGUAGAGAUCGGGAGGAAUACCAGUGGCGAAGGCGGCCUUCUGGCCUGACACUGACACUGAGGUGCGAAAGCGUGGGUAGCAAACAGGAUUAGAUACCCUGAUAGUCCACGCCGUAAACGAUGUCGACUAGCCGUUGGGACCUUUAAGGACUUAGUGGCGCAGUUAACGCGAUAAGUCGACCGCCUGGGGAGUACGGCCGCAAGUUAAAACUCAAAUGAAUUGACGGGGGCCCGCACAAGCGGUGGAGCAUGUGGUUUUAAUUCGAUGCA